UCUACGGGCGGCAGCAGUGAGGAAUAUUGGUCAAUGGCCGGAAGGCUGAACCAGCCAUGCCGCGUGAAGGUCAGUGCCCUAUGGGAGUUAAACUGCUUUUGUGCGGGAGCAAUAAUGGUCACGUGUGGCCAGACGAGAGUACCGUACGAAUAAGCAUCGGCUAACUCCGUGCCAGCAGACGCGGUAAUACGGGGGAUGCAAGGGUUAUCCGGGUUUAAUGGGUUUAAAGGGUGCGUAGGCUGUGAGGUAAGUCAGCGGUGAAAUGCCCCCGCUCAACGGGGUGAAGUGCCAUUGAUAUUGCCUUGCUGGAAUGCGGAUGCCGUGGGAGGAAUGUGUGGUGUAGCGGUGAAAUGCAUAGAUAUCACACAGAACACCGAUUGCGAAGGCAUCUCACGAAUCCGCGAUUGACGCUGAUGCACGAAAGCGUGGGUAUCAAACAGGAUUAGAUACCCUAGUAGUC
rnacentral:rRNA from 1 species